GUGCCAAAAUGCACUUGCUAUUUGACCACCUCUCUCUCUCUCUCUCUCUCUCUCUCUCUCUCUCUCUCUCACCGCAUGACCUCAGAAAUUGAAUCCCAUUUCCACUCCCUCUCCGUGUUUCCACAUGCAGCAAGCCAAACGCGUGCCAGUAGCAACCAGAUCAACCUCGUGGUCUUGCUGGUUCGCAUUAACUACUGUCAUCAUUCCACAGCCUAAGGACAAGGAAAAGACUAAAGGAGGCUGGUUAAACAUGGUCAUCUUCAUGUGCAGCUCUUUUGCCUCAAUGCCCGCGGGUAACUACCAAAAGUGCACGACCAUUGUACAGCUGGUAUCACAGGGCAUCAUUCUUUACUGGGAAAUCUCCCCUCUCAUUUUACAUGCCUCAAGAUGUGGACUGUGGCAGCAAGAAGAAGCUUCUGAGCGAAACCAGUGGGCCCUGUGACAUUGAUGAGCCUUCCCACUUCACCAUUCCAGGUUAGCAAGCAUAGGAGUUGAGGGGUGGGAGUUCGUGAGAUAAGAAGCCAUGAAGUGGUAGCUGAUGUAUGAAACCAUUUCAAUUUUUCUUCCAGUUUUUGUUUUAAUUUUGCACAAACAAUUUAAAUGUCAUGUUUGGUCUAUAGUAUAAUAGUAGGGACUUUGGACUCUCGAGAGUUAAGCACAGUAUGAACUCUAGACCCUCGAGAGUUGAGCACAGUAUGGACUCUGGACUCUCGAGAGUCAAGAGAAUUUUAUGGAUUUAUGCUGACAAAUCUUGAACUAGGAAUAUGGAUUUAUUAUAUAAUUUAUAUUUAUAUGCUCAAA